UAACUAUUUGUGAAGUAUUAAGGGAUGACAUUUAAUAUUUAUGUAAAUAUCACCUCCCGUGAUAUGAUUUCUAAAAUUAUACAUGUUUUCGGCGAUCUCCGAGGUCAUUUUUCUGAAUGACGUAAAUCCGAUGAGAAAUCGGGAAGGGUGUGUGUGCAUGCCUCAUUAAUUAGCGUGUGCACAUUGCUUGAUAAUGCUUGAUAUAUAUUUUAAAAUAAAUUUGUCCAUCUCAGACCCGUUUGUAUACGAAUCAAAACAAUUACAAUACGGAGAUUGCCAAUGAAAAAUUGAGCUAGAAUAUACAAGAUCAGAUUUGAUUGGUCGUCGUUAUUUUUACCAGCCAAUGAAAUCGUUUGUUGCAUAGUCAUUUGAUGUCAAAAUACAUGUACAAAUACAAUGACGACAACGGUGAAGUGUUAACCGCCUGGUUUUAAUACUAACGAUCUGAAAAAGGGUGCAAAAAACAAAUGGAGGUGGGAGUGGUUAGCGGAAAAGGACUCUAAAGGUGAAAAAUGGGAUGCUUGGUUGAAGAAACCAAAUGCAAUGGGCUUUUGUGAAGUCUGUUCCAAAACGAUCAACUAGACAAAUCGAACAGAAAAAAGGUGCUUCUUAAUCACGAUUAGCUGAAGAUGAGGACCACUAAAAGAAUCUUAGACCAAGUACUGCCAGGCUCAUCAAAAGCUGUGGACAAAAAGAUUGAAAGUAUGCAAGACCGUAUUGCCAAACAAAGAGCAAUCACAACUGCCUUUCUUAGUGAACAUUGACUGCCAUUUUCCAUAGCAGGCGAUCUCUAACAUCUUGCCAAACGUUUAGCUGAAGACAAGCCUGCUCUUGAAAAAACUACUCUUUCUCCAACCAGUGCAAUGUACAUAACAACACAUGGUGUAGCCAAAUCUGUUAAGGAUGGAGUGAAGUCAAAAGUGAAAGAUAAGUUAAUAUCUUUGAAUAUGGAUGAGGCAACUAACAAAAAACAAUAACAAAGUACUGAAUAUAAUCUUUCAGUACUUUGAUGAUGAAACUAGUCAAGUAGUAAUGGAUCAUUUAGGAUUGAGAAUUCAAAAUGUUUCCACAUCUGAAGAAAUUGUCAAGUCAGUUGAAAGUGUGCUGCAUCAACAAGUGGAAGACAAUGGAAAAGGAUUAAAUUUAAGAUAUGAAAUAGAAAAUAGUAAAAAGAAUGAACAUAAUUUGUUAUGUGGAAUGUGUAUAUAUUGCUUAAAUAGUAUUGCUCAGUGAAUUUGAGUAAAUUUUAACAUAUCAGAUUAAUUACAUCUGAAGAUAAAUAAAGCACUUGAGAAUGUAUCUGAGCCUUUUUUUGAACUUUUAAAUUCACUAAAUUGUAAAAGCUUCCAAGGGCCUCCAGCCCCCUGAACCCCUAGCCAGGGCGUUGCCCUGGACCCACCGGGGGCCCUAGCGGCCCCCUGACCCCCAACUUUUUCUUUCAGUAUUUUCAGUUUCUGUAACUUUUACCCCUGCAUGUACACAUGUGUUUAUCACCUCAAUAAAUGUAAGUGAAAAUGGAACAAUAAUUAUGGUAAUUAUCCAUGGUGCUAGAAAUACUCUUUAUCAUGUUAACUAAGCAAGAAGCUUAUAAUUGCUUAACCUUACAAUAGUUAUCAAUUUAAACUUGAAAAUCUACUCUAAAUGACUUCCCAAACAGUAAUUUCUGAAAACAUGAAAAAGAUUCGUGUAGAAAAAUAACACAAGAAAAAACUGAUUUGACUCGUGAAAAUUUUUGGCCAAACAGUCUGCCACGUGAAAUUCUGACCUUCCUGAGAUCCCUGCUGUUUGUUUUUUAGCUCACCUGUCACAAAGUGACAGGGUGAGCUUUUGUGAUCGCUUUUCGUCCGGCGUCCGUCCGUCGUCCGUCCGUAAACUUUUACUUUAAAUGACAUCUCCUCAUAAACCGCUAAGCCAAUUUCAUCCAAACUUCACAGGAAUGUUCCUUUGGUGGUCACCUUUAAAAAUUGUUCAAAGAAUUUAAUUCCAUGCAGAACUCUGGUUGCCAUGGCAACCAAAAGAAAAAACUUUAAAUAUCUUCUUUUAAAAAAACAUAAGAGCUAGAGCUUAGAUAUUUGGCAUGAAACAUCUUCUAGUGAGUGUCUACCAAGUUUGUUCAAAUAAAAGCCCUGGGGUCAAAAUUGGCCCCGCCCCAGGGGGUCAUUGAUUUUCCCUAUAUGCAUAUAGUAAAAAAUUAAAAAGUCUUCUUUUAAAGAACCCAAAGAGCUAGAGCUAAGAUAUUUAGCAUGAAAUAUGUUCUAAUGGGUGUCUACCAAGUUUGUUCAAAUAAAAGCCCUGGGGUCAAAAUUGGCCCAGCCCCGGGGGGUCAUUGAUUUUCCCCAUAUGCAUAUAGUAAAAACUUAAAUAAAAUUCUUUUAAAGAACUCAAAGAGCUAUGGCUAAGAUAUUGAGCAUCAAACAUGUUCUAAUAGGUGUCUACCAAGUUUGUUCAAAUAAAAGCCCUGGGGUCAAAAUUGGCCCCGCCCCAGGGGGUCAUUGAUUUUCCCUAUGUGCAUAUAGUAAAAACUUAAAAAAUCUUCUUUUAAAGAACCAAAAGAGUUAGAGCUAAGAUAUUUAGCAUGAAACAUGUUCUAAUAAGUGUCUACCAAGUUUGUUCAAAUAAAAGCCCUUGGGUCAAAAUUGGCCCCGCCUCGGGGGGGUCAUUGAUUUUCCCUAUAUGCAUAUAGUAAAAACUUAAAAAAUCUUCUUUUAAAGAACUCAAAGAGCUAUGGCUAAGAUAUUGAGCAUGAAACAUGUUCUAAUAGGUGUCUACCAAGUUUGUUCAAAUAAAAGCCCUGGGGUCAAAAUUGGCCCCACCCCGGGGGGUCAUUGAUUUUCCCUAUAUGCAUAUAGUAAAAACUUAAAAAAUCUUCUUUUAAAGAACUCAAAGAGCUAUGGCUAAGAUAUUUAGCAUCAAACAUGUUCUAAUAGGUGUCUACCAAGUUUGUUCAAAUAAAAGCCCUGGGGUCAAAAUUGGCACCGCCCCGGGGGUCAUUGAUUUUCCUUAUAUGUGUAUAGCAAAAACUUUAAAAAAUCUUCUUUGAAAAAACCCAAAUAGCUAGAGUUAAGAUAUCAAGCAUGAAACAUCUUUUAGUGAGUGUCUACAAAGUUUGUUCAAAUAAAAGACCAGGGGUCAAAAUUGGCCCCGCCCCGGGGGUCAUUGAUUUUCUUUAUGUGUAUAGCAAAAACUUAAAAUCUUCUUAGGAAAAACCCAAAUAGCUAGAGUUUAGAUAUUAAGCAUGAAACAUCUUCUAGUAAGUGUCUACAAAGUUUGUUCAAAUAAAAGCCCUGGGGUCAAAACUGGCCUGGCCCCAGGGGUGUCAUUGUUUUUAACUAUA